rnacentral:rRNA from 1 species
UACGUAGGGUGCGAGCGUUAAUCGGAAUUACUGGGCGUAAAGCGUGCGCAGGCGGUUCGUUAAGUUCGUUGUGAAAGCCCCGGGCUCAACCUGGGAACUGCAAUGGAAACUGGCGGGCUUGAGUGUGGCAGAGGGGGGUGGAAUUCCGCGUGUAGCAGUGAAAUGCGUAGAGAUGCGGAGGAACACCGAUGGCGAAGGCAGCCCCCUGGGCCAACACUGACGUUCAGGCACGAAAGCGUGGGGAGCAAACAGG